UAGGGAAUUCUUCGGCAAUGGACGAAAGUCUGACCGAGCAACGCCGCGUGAGUGAAGAAGGUUUUCGGAUCGUAAAACUCUGUUGGUAGAGAAGAACGUUGGUGAGAGUGGAAAGCUCAUCAAGUGACGGUAACUACCCAGAAAGGGACGGCUAACUACGUGCCAG
rnacentral:rRNA from 1 species